GAUGAACGCUAGCGGGAGGCCUAACACAUGCAAGCCGAGCGGUAUUGUUUCUUCGGAAAUGAGAGAGCGGCGUACGGGUGCGGAACACGUGUGCAACCUGCCUUUAUCUGGGGGAUAGCCUUUCGAAAGGAAGAUUAAUACUCCAUAAUAUAUUGAACGGCAUCGUUUAAUAUUGAAAGCUCCGGCGGAUAGAGAUGGGCACGCGCAAGAUUAGCUAGUUGGUGAGGUAACGGCUCACCAAGGCGAUGAUCUUUAGGGGGCCUGAGAGGGUGAUCCCCCACACUGGUACUGAGACACGGACCAGACUCCUACGGGAGGCAGCAGUGAGGAAUAUUGGUCAAUGGGUGCAAGCCUGAACCAGCCAUCCCGCGUGAAGGACGACUGCCCUAUGGGUUGUAAACUUCUUUUGUAUAGGGAUAAACCUACCCUCGUGAGGGUAGCUGAAGGUACUAUACGAAUAAGCACCGGCUAACUCCGUGCCAGCAGCCGCGGUAAUACGGAGGGUGCAAGCGUUAUCCGGAUUUAUUGGGUUUAAAGGGUCCGUAGGCGGACUUAUAAGUCAGUGGUGAAAGCCUGUCGCUUAACGAUAGAACUGCCAUUGAUACUGUAAGUCUUGAGUAUAUUUGAGGUAGCUGGAAUAAGUAGUGUAGCGGUGAAAUGCAUAGAUAUUACUUAGAACACCAAUUGCGAAGGCAGGUUACCAAGAUAUAACUGACGCUGAGGGACGAAAGCGUGGGGAACGAACAGGAUUAGAUACCCUGGUAGUCCACGCCGUAAACGAUGCUAACUCGUUUUUGGGCUUUAGGGUUCAGAGACCAGGCGAAAGUGAUAAGUUAGCCACCUGGGGAGUACGCUCGCAAGAGUGAAACUCAAAGGAAUUGACGGGGGCCCGCACAAGCGGUGGAUUAUGUGGUUUAAUUCGAUGAUACGCGAGGAACCUUACCAAGACUUAAAUGGGAAUUGACAGCUUUAGAAAUAGAGCUCUCUUCGGACAAUUUUCAAGGUGCUGCAUGGUUGUCGUCAGCUCGUGCCGUGAGGUGUUAGGUUAAGUCCUGCAACGAGCGCAACCCCUGUCACUAGUUGCCAUCAUUCAGUUGGGGACUCUAGUGAGACUGCCUACGCAAGUAGAGAGGAAGGUGGGGAUGACGUCAAAUCAUCACGGCCCUUACGUCUUGGGCCACACACGUAAUACAAUGGCCGGUACAGAGGGCAGCUACACAGCGAUGUGAUGCAAAUCUCGAAAGCCGGUCUCAGUUCGGAUUGGAGUCUGCAACUCGACUCUAUGAAGCUGGAAUCGCUAGUAAUCGCGCAUCAGCCAUGGCGCGGUGAAUACGUUCCCGGGCCU
rnacentral:rRNA from 1 species